GAUCCUGGCUCAGGAUGAACGCUAGCUACAGGCUUAACACAUGCAAGUCGCGGGGUAACAUCUGGUAGAGCUUGCUCUUCCAGGAUGACGACCGGCGCACGGGUGAGUAACGCGUAUCCAACCUGGCCCAUACCACGGGAUAGCCCGUCGAAAGGCGGAUUAAUACCGUAUGCUGUCAUUAAGAUGCAUAUAUUGAUGACGAAAGGACUGGCGGUAUGGGAUGGGGAUGCGUCUGAUUAGCUUGUUGGCGGGGUAACGGCCCACCAAGGCGACGAUCAGUAGGGGUUCUGAGAGGAAGGUCCCCCACAUUGGAACUGAGACACGGUCCAAACUCCUACGGGAGGCAGCAGUGAGGAAUAUUGGUCAAUGGGCGCAAGCCUGAACCAGCCAAGUAGCGUGAGGGAAGACUGCCCUACGGGUUGUAAACCUCUUUUGUUUGGGAAUAAAGUGCGGGACGUGUCCCGCAUUGCAUGUACCAUUUGAAUAAGGACCGGCUAAUUCCGUG
rnacentral:rRNA from 1 species